AGGCACCUACGGGGGCCUUAAACAUAGCUGGGCCAAAGACAACAACCUAAGGCUCGGCACGCUAAACGGAAGACAGAAA
rfam:Roseobacter sp. SK209-2-6 1101232001810, whole genome shotgun sequence.